GUGCCAGCCGCCGCGGUAAUACGGAGGAUCCGAGCGUUAUCCGGAAUCAUUGGGUUUAAAGGGUCCGUAGGCGGGCCGUUAAGUCAGGGGUGAAAGUCUGCGGCUCAACCGUAGAAUUGCCCUUGAUACUGGUGGCCUUGAGUUAUGGUGAAGUAGCUAGAAUAUGUAGUGUAGCGGUGAAAUGCAUAGAUAUUACAUAGAAUACCGAUUGCGAAGGCAGGCUACUAACCAUAUACUGACGCUGAUGGACGAAAGCGUGGGUAGCGAACAGGAUUAGAUACCCUGGUAGUCCACGCCGUAAACGAUGGAUACUAGCUGUCCGGAUGCAAAUCUGGGCGGCCAAGCGAAAGUGAUAAGUAUCCCACCUGGGGAGUACGUCCGCAAGGAUGAAACUCAAAGGAAUCGACGGGGGCCCGCACAAGCGGUGGAGCAUGUGGUUUAAUUCGAUGAUACGCGAGGAACCUUACCAGGGCUUAAAUGUAGGUUGACAGGUUUAGAGAUAGACUUUUCUUCGGACAAUCUACAAGGUGCUGCAUGGUUGUCGUCAGCUCGUGCCGUGAGGUGUCAGGUUAAGUCCUAUAACGAGCGCAACCCCUGCCGUUAGUUGCCAGCAUGUCAUGAUGGGGACUCUAACGGGACUGCCGGUGCAAACCGCGAGGAAGGUGGGGAUGACGUCAAAUCAUCACGGCCCUUACGUCCUGGGCCACACACGUGCUACAAUGGCCGGUACAGAGAGCAGCCACUCCGCAAGGGGGAGCGAAUCUAUAAAACCGGUCACAGUUCGGAUCGGGGUCUGCAACUCGACCCCGUGAAGCUGGAAUCGCUAGUAAUCGGAUAUCAGCCAUGAUCCGGUGAAUACGUUCCCGGGCCUUGUACACACCGCCCGUCAAGCCAUGGAAGCCGGGAGUGCCUGAAGUCCGUCACCGCAAGGAGCGGCCUAGGGCAAGAUCGGUAACUAGGGCUAAGUCGUAACAAGGUAACC
rnacentral:rRNA from 1 species